UUCCAACACAGACACAACAUAAGGCCAUCUCCAACCAUCGCUCUAUCUUUUGCACCAUUUUUCACUUUAAAAUGGUGCGAUACAAAAUCUAAUCCAACCAUUAUAUUAUUUUUUUCACCAAAUUUUCUUUCUCUUUUAUAUUAUAUUAUUAUUUUUUACUCCAACAACUCUAUUUCUCUCUCCUAUCUUCUAUUUACUUGACACCAAAUGAAUAAAAUAUUAUUAAAUCAAAUAUAGAGUAAUGAAUAUUGUUGUACCAAAUUUGGUGGAACACUAUUCUUACUCUAUAGCAAGAAAUAUAGUAUUAUUGGAGCAAGAAUACUCUAUUUCUUGCACCAAAUUCAGAUUUGGUGCAAAAAAUAAAGUAUGAUUGGAGAUGUCGUAAGUCUGAAAAUAUCCAUCGAUUUCUCUUUUUCAAGAAUUCUUCAGUUCGCUUCGUCUUCAAUGGUUAUAACUUCAGGUCUGAUCAUCUUUCAACUUUUGUCCAAAUCUUCUCCGUUCUUCUUUUUCUCCUUGCUUUUUUGGUUCUUUUCAGUCUUCUCAAAUUCAUGGUUAUUAUCGUUCUGUUUUUCAUUGUAGUAAUUUCAUUUGCUUCAGAUUUUUUUUUUUUUCUGAAUUUCAAAAAGUGUCCUUUCAAAUUCAGUUAUAGGCGAACAAAUUCAUGAUAUAUAUAGGCUAACUAAUUCAUGACUCUUUGGCGCAAAAUCAGGAGCUCUUAACCAGAGAAUUGGUGGUACUUUCCCUAUUAUUUUGUAAAGAUGAAUAGAAAUUGAUAUAAAAAAAUAAUGAUGUUAAGACAUUGAAAAUAUCCAAUUAAUUCUUGAACGCAUUAGAAAUGUCGGCCGGAAAAAUUGAAUUCAUUUAGAAUCAAAGAUUUCAAAUGCAUUAGAAAUAAAUUAAUACUUAUAAAAGGAAAUCAUUGAAUAUCCAGUAACUGUUUCCUAGUUGGGGCAAAUUUUUAUUUUCUCAAAACCCUAGGUCUAUCUCUAACCCUUGAUUUUACUUGAUUAUUCGCGUUAAAUCUAUUUAAUGUUCAUGUAUUUAAGCUAAGAAUGAGUGAGGAUUACUUAUCUUGUGAUGUUAUAUUGAAACCCCCUCUUUGGAAUCUCUAAAAUUGCCCAAGAAUUGAGUGAGAAGUGAGAGAAAUAGCUAGGGGUUCAAAUUAAAUGAACCUCUCUACCCUGCCCUUUUAGCUUCCGCGGAUGAUAUUCCGCUCCUACAGCCACACCUUCUGCGGUCCAGGCCCAUACUGGAAGAACCGCUUCUGCGAUCCUUAAGCCACUGAUGCGUGUCUGCUCCUGCGGUCUUGAGAUCACUUCUGUCGAUUUCCCCGAGCUGCCCCCAUACCGCUUUUGUGGUCCAAGAGCCGUAGAAGUGGUUAUGAUAGAAGAAGCAAAGUUGGUUUUUCCUAUGUUUUCAAUUUCACUUGAACCUCGACCAUUUGACGCUCGGGAAUCCUGAGCUCAGCCCUUAUAUAUCGACAAGUCUAAAAUCAUGAGGAGGACCUAGUCGAACCCUCGAAACACCCAAAACAAUGCUAAAUCAAGGAAUCGAACCCCAAAACCAAUUGAAUCAACUUAAUGAACAUGAAGUUCUUAAUUUCCUUUCAACGGGUCAAAACGCCCUUAAACUACUCUGAUUGACACCAAAUUUUACGGGAGGGUCUUAACUGAUAUUUCGGACUUGUAUCAAGUUUCGGAACCAGAAUCCGAACCCGAUACUUAGGUUUUUAAUGAAUACUUAGAUUCUUUAACUCUUUAAAAAACUUUGACCUAACAAUUUUACAUAAAAAUUUUGUACUCGGGUUAGGGACCUCGGAAUUCGAUUCCGAACAUAUGCCCAGGUCCCAUAUUUUCUCACGGACCUUGCGGGACCGUCAAAUCACGAAUCCAGGUUCGUUUCCCAAGAAAGUUGACCGAAUUUAAAUUUGUCCUUUUAAAAAAACCUUAAAGAAAUAAUUGAUUUUAUUUUUACUCAAAACUCUCAUAACUUCCAAACUAAUCACCCCCGCAAGUCGUAAUUAUGCUAAGGAAAAUGUGGAAAGUUUUAUUUAAGGGAACAUGGUUCUAAAUAGUAAAAUAACCAGUCGGGUCGUUACAUUUUCCACCUAUUAAACAAACGUUCGUCCUUGAACGAACAUAGAAAAGUAUCUGGACUGAUGAAUAAGUGGGGAUAUCGGCUCCGCAUGUCCUCCUCGGACUCCCAGGUCGCCUCCUCAAUCGAUUGGCCCCUCCACUAGACCCUUACUGCAAAAGUCCUUUUGGACCUCAACUUGCGGUCCUGUCUAUCAACAAUGGGAACUGACUCCUCCUCAUUGCCCAAGCUCUCAUCUUACUGAAUGGUACUGAAAUCCAACAUAUGUGAAUGGUCGGUAUGAUACCUCCGAAGCAUUGAUGCAUAGAAAACAGGAUGAACUCAUGAUAAACUACAAGGUAAACCAAGAUCAUAGGCAACCUCUCCAACUCGCCUCAACACCUCAAAGGGGCCAAUAAACCUUGGGCUUAGCUUGUCCUUCUUCCAAAACCCCAUAAUGCCCUUUAUUGGCGAGACUUUCAAGAGAACCUUCUCGCCAAUCGCGAAUGAUACAUCGCGUGCUUUCUAAUCCGUGUAACUCUUCUGCCUGGAAUGAGCUGUGUGGAGCCUCUCCUGAAUCAACUUUACCUUAUCCAAGGCAUCAUGUACCAAAUCUGUACCAAGUAACUUACCUACCCUUCUUUCCAAACCUCAUAAUGCCCUUUAUUGACGAGACUUUCAAGAGAACUUUCUCGCCAAUUGAGAAUGAUACAUCAUGUGCCUUCCGAUCCACGUAACUCUUCUGCCUAGACUACGCUGUGCGGAGCCUCUCCUGAAUCAACUUUACCUUAUCCAAUGCAUCCUUUACCAAAUCUGUACCAAGUAACUUAGCCUCACCAAGCUCAAACCACCCUAUAGGAGAACGACAACGCGGACCAUACAAUGCCUCAUACGGGGCCAUAUCUAUGCUGGACUGAUAGCUAUUAUUGUAUGCAAACUCCGCCAAGGGCAAGAACUGGUGCCACUGUCUCCAAAGUCAAUCACAUAUGCUCUAAGCAUAUCUCUAAAAUCUGAACUGUCCGAUUCGACUGCCCGUUGGUCUGAAGAUGGAAUGCCGUGCUAAGCUCUACGUAGGUCCCCAACUCACUCUGAACAACUCUCCAGAAAUGGGAAGUGACUGAGUGCCUCUGUAUGAUAUGAUGGAAACUGGCACACCGUGCAACUUGACUAUCUCCCGAAUGUAAAUUUGAGCAUAUCUCUCUGCUGUAUAAGUAGUCGCCACUAGAAUGAAAUGGGCAGACUUGGUCAACCUAUCCACAAUAACACGCACUGAAUCAACCUUCCGCAAAGUCUGCGGCAACCUAACCACGAAGUCCAUAAUGAUGCGCUCCCAAUUCCAUCCCGGAAUAAGCAUCUGCUGAAGUAAGCCACCUGGCCUCUGGUGCUCAUACUUGACCUUCUGGCAAUUCAAACAUUUAGCUAUAUACUCAACAAUGUCCUUCUUCAUCCUCCACCACCAAUAAUGCUGUCUCAAGUCACGAUACAUCUUUGUGGCACCCGGCUGAAUGGAGUACCUCGAACUAUGGGCCUCCUCUAGAAUCCUCAUCAACAGUAGGAACACAUACACGGCCUUGAAGCCGUAACACACCAUCCUUGCCAAUAGAAAUCUCUUUGGCACCUCCCUGAAGUACCGUCUCUCCGAGGACCUCCAAAUGUGGAUCAUUGAACUGUCGGGCCUUAAUCUGCCCUAACAACAAAGACUAAGCAACCACACAUGCUAGAAAUUGACUGGGCUCCAAAAUAUCUAACCUCACCAGUCUGUUAGCCAAGGACUAGAUGUUCAAAGCCAAUGGUCUCUCCUCAGCAGGAAUGAAUGCAAAACUACCAAUACUCUCCGCCUUUUUGCUUAAGGCAUCCGCGACCACAUUCGCCUUAACUGGAUGAUAAAGAAUGGCAAUGUCAUAAUCCUUUAGUAACUCAAGCCACCUACACUACCUCAAAUUAAGGUCCCUUUGCUUGAACAAGUGCUUCAAACUGCGAUGAUCGGUGUAAACCUCACAUGAUACCCUAUACAAAUAAUGCCUCCAUAUCUUCAGAGCAUGAAUAAUCGCUGCCAACUCUAGAUCGUGCACUGGGUAGUUAUUCUCAUGAUCUUCAGCUGACGUGAAGCAUAUGCAAUAACUGACCCCUCUUGCAUCAAUACACAUCCCAAGCCAACGCGAGAAGUGUCACAAUAUAUAGCAUACAUACCUGAACCGGAAGGCAAUACAAGAACCAGUGUUAUAGUCAAAGCCGUCUUGAGCUUCAAAAAGCUCUCCUCGCACUCAUCGGACCAACAAAAUGGGACACCCUUCUGGGUCAAUCUGGUCAAGGGUGAAACAAUACAUGAAAAACCCUGAACAAACCGCCGGUAGUAUCCUGCUAAUCCCAGGAAACUCCUGAUCUCGGUCACUAAAGUAGGACGUUGCCAACUCUAAACUGCCUCAAUCUUCUUGGGAUCCACUUUAAAACCCCCUCCUCACACAAUAUGCCCCAAGAGUGCCACUAAAUCUAGCCAGAACUCACACUUGGAGAACUUGGCAUAUAGCCUCUGCUCUCGCAAGGUCUGAAGUACUACUCUCAAAUGCUGCUCGUGCUCCCCCAGGCUACGUGAGUAUAUCAAGAUGUCGUCAAUGAAGACAAUAACAAAAGAGUCAAUAAAAGGCCCGAACACCCUGUUCAUCACGUCCAUAUAUGCCGUUGGAGCAUUCGUCAGCCCAAUGACAUCACGAGAAACUCAUUGUGGCCAUAUCUAGUCCUGAAUGCAGUCUUCGGGACAUCUGAAUCCCGAAUCUUCAGCUGAUAAUACCCUGACCUCAAGUCAAUCUUAGAGAACACCCUAGCACCCUGCAGCUGGUCAAACAAAUCAUCAAUACGUGGAAACGAAUACUUGUUCUUGAUGGUGACUUUGUUCAACUGGCGAUUAUCAAUGCACAUACGCAUAGUCCCAUCUUUCUUCUUCACAAAUAACACCGGUGCACCCCAAGGCAAUACACUAGGCCUAACAAACCCCUUUGCUAAUAACUCCUCCAACUGCUCCUUCAACUCCUUCAGCUCCUUAGGAGCUAUACGGUACAGUGGGAUCGAUAUAGUUUGAGUUCUUGGAGCCAAAUCAAUGCAGAAAUCAAUAUCAUGAUCCAGAGGCAUGCCUGGAAUAUCAGAAGGAAAAACAUCGACGAACUCUCGAACUACUGGCACUGAAUCAAUCAUCUUAGACUCUGCUGUGCUGUCUCGAACGUAAGCCAGAUAAGACAAACACCCUUUCUCAACCAUGCACUGAGCCUUUAGAAAAGAAACAACCUUGCCGCUGGUGCUGGAGUCACUGGUUGCUGUCCCUGCUGCGCUUCCUUGCCCCAAGCCUGGGACAUGUACUCCUCAGUUGACUAGGAUCUCCACACUCAUAGCAACAUGGUACGACGACCUAUGCCCCGAAGACUGACCCUAAAACCCACAGAACUACUAGGAGGCACCGAAAGAGCCGAUCGACGAUAUGAACUCUCUGACAUGGCACUGAAGUAAGAGCUGGAAGGAACCUGACAUGAAUAGCCACUGGAUGAACCCUGAAUAGAUAGCGAGCGAUAAAAACCCUCUGGCAUAGCACUGAAAUAAGGAUGUGCUGGAGCUCCUGGCAGGAGGUGGUGGUGCUGAAACUGGGGGCCUGCUCGACUGACCCCUCCCAUACUGACCUCUGCCCCUAGAUGGGGCACCUCUGAACUCUCCAAAGAACCUCGUUCUCUUGUCCUGCUGAACUUGAUCCUUGCCCCUCUGGCGACACCUCUCAAUUCGGUGAGCAAUCUCGACCACUAGCUGAUAUUCUGUACCCAUCUCCACCUCUCGUGCCAUGCUGAUCUGGAUACCGCGCUGGAACCUCGAGACAAACCUUUGCACUUUCUUUGCGUCUGUAGGAAGUAUCAUAAGUGCAUGGCGGGAUAACUCAGAGAACCUUGCCUCAUAAUCGGUCACAGACAUCUGACCCUUCUAGAGAUUCUUAAACUAAUACAACAGCUCUUCCCUCUCGGAGAGAGGGAUAUACCUGUCCAAGAACAACUGGGUAAACUGAUCCCAAGUGAGUGGAGGAGAACCUGUUGGCCUGCUAAGAGCAUAAGACCUCCACCAUAUGCGUGCCCUGCCCUCAAACUGAAAAAUUAUGAUGUCAACCCCAUGUGACUCUAGUAUCCUCAUGUUGUGCAGUCUGUCCUUGCACCUCUCAAUAAAGUCCUGAGUGUCCUCAUGACGUUCACCCCCGAAGACUGGAGUGCAAAGUCUAGUCCAUCUAUCCAGUAACUUCUGCAGUUCACCAUCCCCAGCUGGCAUGGGCUGGGGUGCCCCUACAGUAACUAGCUGAACCCUAUCUGCGAGUAAUGCACCCGGAGUCUGAUAAACGGCAGCCAUACCAGAUGGAGCUUGAGCAGUAGGGGUCUGUUCUCCCCCUCCUACUCGUGAGGUUGCUGGAUCUGCUGGAAAUAAACCAACAUGGGUCAUAGUGUCCAUGAAUUGAAGCAUGCGGCCCAUGACCUCUUGAAAACCCGGUGCUAUCAUGAAAUCCACCGGAAUAUGCUCAGUUGCGGGCACCUCGCCAUGCUCAUCAACGAUAUGAUCCCUCGUAGGAUCUGCUGGUGGUGCAACUGGAAUAGCUCUGGGGUGCCCUCGUAACUUACCACGGGCAAGUGCCCUUCCCGGCCUCUACCUCGGCUUCUAGGAACGAGGGGAGCAGCUCCUCCCAGGUCAGAAACGUCGGCGGUACGAGUCCUCACCAUUUGUGAAAGAAUAGAAAUGGAAAUUAACCACUGCACGAUAGGAACAAAAUAAAGAGUAGUCCUUCCUAACACCCUAUAGCCUCUCGAAGAUAAACACAAACAUCUCUGCACCGAUCUACAAGAAUCUAUUGGGUUUUGCCCACAAUACUAUCAGACCUACAUGAACCUAGUGCUCUGAUACCAUGUUGUCAUUGACCCAUUUCCAUAACAGGUCAUGAUGGCGCCCAACGACCUUGCCAGCUAAGCCAAGUGCGGAAAACAUUUCUAACUUUAACAACAUCAAUAUUUUGAAGAACAGGAUAAGCAUCCCAAAAGGGGUUUUCAGAAACUCGAUACAGUAAUCAAUGUAGGGACAUAAUAUUACAACCCAGAACUAGUAUACUAGAGUAUGUGCCAGAACCUAGUGUCAUAGCUACGGGCAACUAGUAGAGAAUAUACAAAAGAAUAAUAUGCUAUCCUACUGCCUGAGUUAGGAUAGACACAGAAGUACAGAGAUCACUUCUUCAUCUGCAGAUCGUCAAUGAAAGGAGGCAGCUCACCAUAGAAGUCCAAGAUAAAUCACUUAUGUGCGCCCGAAUGGUAACCUGAUCCACCUGCCUCAGAUCCUGUACAUUUAAGUUCAGAAGCGUAACAUGAGUACAUAAACAUCAUGUACCUAGUAAGUAUCCCGCCUAAUCUCGAAGAAGUAGGGACAAGAGGUCGACUUGAUACUUACUAAGGUCAAAUAAUAUAUGCGAUUAUUUAUAUGCAUGGAAGUUACUAAUAUCAACAUGUUUAAGGCAAGAGAGAUAAGUCAUGUCUUUACAAUAUAAUGAUUCAAAAACUUCCUAUUCAAUGUACAAUAAAAAGUAAUGUGAGUGCAAGUUUUCACAUAAUAAUCAUGCGCGCAUUAUACCGAGGUGACUGUUUGAACCAACAUAAGAAAAUGUGCACUUGCCGAGGGUCAAUGGCGUGCCUAUAGAUGCAUCUAUUCAUACCAGGCGAUCGACCCGAUCCACAAAUAACAAGCAAGCAUCAAGAAUGCACACGAAGACAAUACAUAUUAAGUUACGCCAUACAAGAGUUCAACAAGUGUACAAGUUUACUUUUAUUUUUCUUCUAGCCUCUAAUAUACCCUAGACGGUCACAUUAGCAUGAUGAUAUGUAGAUAUUCAUAGACAAAGCAUGAUGUGGGUCCUAAACUACCCGGACAACCAAUAUGGUACGGACUCUCGUCACCUUGUGUGUACGUAGCUCUCGUUUUUAACAAUAAUUAUACAUUUUAUUAAUACUAUGGGGAUAUUUCCGUCUUACAAGAUUAGAAAGAAGACUCACCCCGCUCCGAAGCUCUCUUUCGAUAACAAGAAUAGGCUCCAACCUCAAUUUGAAGCCGAACGAGCAACAACUAGUUAAAUAAAGUAAGAACUAGUCAAUAAGUGCUUACAAGUUGAAUUCUAACUAAUUUAAGUGAUUUCUCAACCAUUCUCACAAGUUUAUUAAAUUCCGAUGGCGGGUCCACGUGCCUGGAUUCUAAGAUUUUUCUAAGGAAAUUACUCUCUAUAACCUAAGGAAUUUUUAGUUUAUUACAUAGUUAAUUAGGUGGUCAAAUCUUAAUUUUUAUCAAAACCCCAGGUCUAGUUCUAACCCUUGAUUUUACUUGAUUAUUGGUGUUAAAUCUAUCUAAUGUUCAUGUAUUUAAGCUAAAAUGAUUGGGGAUUACUUACCUUGUGAUGUUAUGUUGAAACCCCCUCUUUGGAAUCUCCAAAAUCGCCUAAGUAUUGAAUGAGAAGUGAGAGAAAUGACUUGGGGUUUGAAUUAAAUGAACCCCUCUGCCCAGCCCUUUUCGCUUCUGUGGAAGGGAUUCUGCUGCUGCGACCACCUCUUCUUUGGUAUGCGGUGCAUGCCCAGACUUGAAGAACCGUUCCUGCGGUCCGUAUGCCACUGAUGUGGGACUGCUCCUGCGGUGUUGAGAUUGCUUCUGCGAUUUCCCCGAGCUGCCCCCAUAUCGCUUUUGUGGUAAAAUGACCGCUUCUGCGGCUCUUGGGCCGCAGAAGCGGUUAUGACAGAAGCAACAAAGUUGGUUUUUCCUAAGUUUUUAACUUCAAUCGAACCUCGACCAUUUGACGCUCCGGGCUCCCGAGCGUCGCCUAAAUAUACCGGCAAGUCUGAAAUCACAAGGCAGACCUAGAUGAACCCUCGAAACACUCGAAACAACGAUAAAUCAAGGAAUCGAACCCCAAAACCAAUUGAAUCAACUUAAUGAACUUCAAGUUCUUAAUUUUCGUUCAACGGGUCAAAACGCCCUUAAACUAGUCGGAUUGACACCAAAUUUUAUGGGUGGGUUUUAACUGAUAUUUCAGACUUGUACCAAGUUUCGGAACCGGAAUCCAAACCUGAUACCUAGAUUUUUAGUGAAUACUUAGAUUCUUUAAUUCUUUAAAACUUCGAUUUAAUAAUUUUACAUAAAAGUUCUGUACUCGAGCUAGGGACCUAGGAAUUCUAUUCCGAGCAUACGUCCAGGUCCCAUAUUUUCCCACGAAUCUUUCGAGGCCGGCAAAUCACGAAUCUGGGUCCGUUUCCCAAGAAAAUUAACCGAAGCCAAAUUUGGCCUUCUAAAAAAAUCUUAAGGAAAUAAUUGGUUUUAUUUCACUCAAAACUCUCCUAACUUCCGAAUUAAUCGCCCUUGCAAGUCGUAAUUUAGCCCAAAAAAGCGUGAGAAGUUUUAUUUAAAGAAACAAAAUUCUAAAUAGUAAAACGACUAGUCGAGUCGUUACAUGCUCGAGCUAGGACCUAGCCAACAAAAUCAAAAUCAAGCUCUCAUAUUCUUUCAUGUAAAGUAAACUAAUUUUCUUAUUUGCUGUUUUUGUAUUUGCAUGUUCUAUUGCCUCUUUUUCCUGAACUAAAAUGGCUUUCUCAUGAAUGUUCUAAUAUGAAAGAUGAGAUCUAUAAUAAAUACAGUUCACUCCAGAUUUGCAUAAUUAGUGAAAUAAGGGAUUGACUGUCAUUUAAUAUUGAUAGAAGUUAGAUUGGGCUAAUGGCACAUGAAAGAGUGCAGACUUCCCUUUUCACAUAAUGCAAUGGAGCUCGCAAACAUUACAUGGCUUAUGAAUAAAUAUAAUCCCGUGUUCCAGUUUAUGUGAACCUAUUUUUUUUUUGGUACAUUCCAAAAAGAAUGAACCCGUUCUAAAUUUGGUAACAAUUUAGCUUAAACUAACGACUCUACCCUUAAUGAGAAGAUUUUAUAACCACACAAAUACUCUGGGCCUCAUCUGGACUUUCUUAGGUUCACAAAUUCCAAAAGUCUUCAUUUUUUUUUCUUAAUCUUUGUGCCCAGUCAAACAGGUUCACAUAAAUUGAAACGGAAGGAGUAUAUAUUUUUAACCAUAAUGAGACCAAAUCUUAGUUCGAUAUUUAUCCUAUAUAUUCCUUGGUGUUAUUGCAUUUUUUGUGCGUCUGAGCACUCUUAUAAAUCUCAGACAUUUAUAACGUUGUUUAUGUUGUACACUUAAUGUGUACGGUGAUGUAGAUUCAUAAUUUGGAACUAAAUCCAAAUGCAUCUUAGCAUAGAUUAGCUCAUUUGCCGCAUCAUAGAGUAGCUUUCUUUUCUUUUUCAUGAAUUAUUCUAACAUUGACAGGUUUGUGUGCAGGCUGAUAUCGAAAUCUAAGCAAUGGAGUGGAGCAUUUUUACUCAUGCACUACUCUUUUAGCCUCAUGAUUUUUGACCUUUGAUACCAUCAGAAUAUAUAUGUUAUUGUCGAUAUGUAAAUGAUGUAAACUAAGGAAAUCAUAAUAAAGAUAGAAAUGAUGUAUGGCCUAGGCAAGAAAAAUAAAUUAUAAAUCAAAAUUGGCAAAUGAAACAUGAUUCUUUCUCAUUGAAACACAAAGUUUUUUAGAUGCAUGCAUGAAAAUUUAGUAUUUUUCAGAAAUUGCUAAAUCAGGUGAUGACGCUUUUCUCUUGUUU
rnacentral:lncRNA from 1 species